rnacentral:rRNA from 1 species
GAGUUNGAUCCUGGCUCAGGAUGAACGCUGGCGGCGUGCUUAACACAUGCAAGUCGAACGGAAAGGCCACAGCUUGCUGUGGUACUCGAGUGGCGAACGGGUGAGUAACACGUGGGUGAUCUGCCCUGUACUUCGGGAUAAGCUUGGGAAACUGGGUCUAAUACCGGAUAGGAAUCACAUGUGGGUGUGUGGUUGGAAAGCUUUUGCGGUAUGGGAUGAGCUCGCGGCCUAUCAGCUUGUUGGUGGGGUAAUGGCCUACCAAGGCGUCGACGGGUAGCCGGCCUGAGAGGGUGUACGGCCACAUUGGGACUGAGAUACGGCCCAGACUCCUACGGGACGCAGCAGA